rnacentral:rRNA from 1 species
AACGAACGCUGGCGGCGUGCCUAACACAUGCAAGUCGAGCGAGAAAGGGGGAGCAAUCCCCUGAGUAGAGCGGCGAACGGGUGAGUAACGCGUGGGCAAUCUGCCCUCCAGCCCGGGAUAACACCUCGAAAGGGGUGCUAAUACCGGAUGACAUCAGCCCGGCGCAUGCCGGGCUGAUCAAAGGCGGCCUCUGCAUGCAAGCUGUCACUGGGGGANGAGCCUGCGUCCGAUUAGCUAGUUGGCGGGGUAACGGCCCACCAAGGCGACGAUCGGUAGCCGGCCUGAGAGGGUGACCGGCCACACUGGGACUGAGAUACGGCCCAGACUCCUACGGGAGGCAGCAGU